UGACUCUCCUCUUUAACGGUCUUCAUGG
rnacentral:piRNA from 1 species